AUUGAACGCUGGCGGCAGGCCUAACACAUGCAAGUCGAGCGAGCGGCGGACGGGGGAGUAAUGUCUGGGAAACUGCCUGAUAGAGGGGGAUAACUACGGGAAACGGUAGCUAAUACCGCAUACAAUCAGAUGGGCCCAGAGGGGAUUAGCUAGUAGGUGGGGUAAUGGCUCACCUAGGCGACGAUCCCUAGCUGGUCUGAGAGGAUGAUCAGCCACACUGGAACUUAGACACGGUCCAGACUCCUACGGGAGGCAGCAGUGGGGAAUAUUGCACAAUGGGCGCAAGCCUGAUGCAGCCAUGCCGCGUGUGUGAAGAAGGCCUUCGGGUUGUAAAGCACUUUCAGCCGGGAGGCGUUACCCGCAGAAGAAGCACCGGCUAACUCCGUGCCAGCCACCGCGGUAAUUC
rnacentral:rRNA from 1 species